rnacentral:rRNA from 1 species
AACGAACGCUGGCGGCAUGCCUAACACAUGCAAGUCGAACGUGAUCCGGGACUUCGGUUCCGGUGAAAGUGGCGCACGGGUGAGUAACGCGUGGGAACCUGCCCAAAGGUAAGGAACAACCGCGGGAAACUGCGGCUAAUACCUUAUGCUCCCUUCGGGGGAAAGAUUUAUCGCCUUUGGAUGGGCCCGCGUCGGAUUAGCUAGUUGGUGAGGUAACGGCUCACCAAGGCGACGAUCCGUAGCUGGUCNGAGAGGAUGAUCAGCCACACUGGGACUGAGACACGGCCCAGACUCCUACGGGAGGCAGCAGUGGGAAUAUUGGACAAUGGGCGCAAGCCUGAUCCAGCAAUGCCGCGUGAGUGAUGAAGGCCUUAGGGUUGUAAAGCUCUUUCGGCGGGGAAGAUGAUGACGGUACCCGCAGAAGAAGCCCCGGCUAACUUCGUGCCAGCAGCCG